CUUAGUACAGAACAAAAUGGAGUGUCUUAUGUCUACUUCUUUCUACAUAGACACAGUAACAGUCUGAUCUCUUUCUUUUCCCCACAGACUGGCCCACCUGGCUUCUAACCUCAUAGGCUGUUUUGGUAUUUUUCUCUUGGUUAUUCUAGCACAGAGGCCAAAAUAACCAUGAGAGGGAUUUAGUUUAUAGUUAAACUUGGAGGCAAGAGAAACGAACCCCCUCCACCCCAUCCAGAGAUUCGGGCUGCAUUCACAUGACAAGUCUUGCUCAGUCGCCCAGGCUGUAGUGCAGUGGCACGAUCUCAGCUCACUGCAGCUGCCUCCUCCCAGGUUCAAGCGAUUCUCCUGCCUCAGCCUCCCGAGUAGCUGAGACUACAGAGCACCAUGGCCUGGCAAGGUCCGACGUUUUCCAAGGAUCCUGGCUGAGCUCCUGUGGAAGCUGCUUCUUACACUGAUGUGGUCCCUCGGCUGGCAGGCCCUUCUGCGGCCAACCAGGUGACACCUGCCAGUUAUGAGGGACAGGUAGGAGAGGAUGGGCUUUCCAUCAAAAAAAAAAAAAAAAAAAAAAGGUAAGUUUUUCCAAACUGCUUUUCUUUCAAAUUUUAAUCUUAAGACUAACCUACAUUAAUUUCUUAUUUUUAUCUCAUAAAGUCCAGAAUUUCUGAUAAUUUCAGUUCUUUUCCAGAGUGCAAAGCAGCAUUGGC